CCCCCCCCCUUUUGCCUUCGGUUCUGUAUGAUUGCUAAUUUGGGGUUUGCAUCAAGGUUGGGGUAUUAGAUUUGGGUUCGAGGUAUGAUGGUAGAGUUGAGCUGGUAUGGGUUAAUGUUGUUGUUGUUCUGUUCUCUGUGUCUUUAGUCCACUGAAAUUAGAAAAUAUAAAUCAAUUUCGAGAUUAUCUAGAAGUAACAUUCUUGGUUGGGUCUGCUGAAUUUGUUGCCUGUUACCUUUAAUAACUGGGUUCGGGAAUGAUGGGGAGUGGAAUUGAUGCAAUCUUGAAUACGGCUUGGUGUGGGAUAUCGUGGAACAUGAUUUGUGGUCAUUAGCUGUUGGGACCUCACAUGGCUAGGUGUUUGUAUUAAUCUAGCUAUGAUAUGAAUUUUUCCGUUUAAAAAAUAUGCCUACUAUAUGGAUAUUUGUCUGUUCAUCUGUGUCCAUAUACCGGACUUUAUCUGUUUCUUACUUAUGAUAUUGUGUCGAGGUUGAAGGUUGGUGUGGUGGUGGAAUCCAAGUGGAAGAAGGAUCUUGAAUUUUGGUGUGGUGGUGGCUCUGUUUUAGUUUUGUUUCCAGUUUUUUAUGAUGAUAGUUGUUCAAAGAGGUGGGUUGUGGAGAGGAGGUGCAAAGAAGAUGGAAACAAGUUUUGUUAAAAGGGGCUUUAAGAAGAAGAAAAAGUGUGGUUGAGAACGGAGUGAUGACGGUGCUGCUGUGGUGGUGGUGGUGAGAGGGAAGAAGAUGAUGGAUGACAUAUUAAUCUUUUUAAAAGUAAUAAUUAAUGAUUAUGUGGUAUAAUAGAUGACACAUAAGAAAUAAAAAAAUAAAAAAAGUGACACAU
rnacentral:lncRNA from 1 species